rnacentral:rRNA from 1 species
GGACCCGCACAAGCGGUGGAUGAUGUGGAUUAAUUCGAUGCAACGCGAAGAACCUUACCUACCCUUGACAUGUCCGAAACUUGCCAGAGAUGGCUUGGUGCCCGAAAGGGAAUCGGAACACAGGUGCUGCAUGGCUGUCGUCAGCUCGUGUCGUGAGAUGUUGGGUUAAGUCCCGCAACGAGCGCAACCCUUGUCCUUAGUUGCUACGCAAGAGCACUCUAAGGAGACUGCCGGUGACAAACCGGAGGAAGGUGGGGAUGACGUCAAGUCCUCAUGGCCCUUAUGGGUAGGGCUUCACACGUCAUACAAUGGUCGGUACAGAGGGUUGCCAAGCCGCGAGGUGGAGCCAAUCCCACAAAGCCGAUCGUAGUCCGGAUUGUUCUCUGCAACUCGAGAGCAUGAAGUCGGAAUCGCUAGUAAUCGCAGGUCAGCAUACUGCGGUGAAUACGUUCCCGGGUCUU